GACGAACGCUGGCGGCGUGCUUAACACAUGCAAGUCGAACGAAGAGCGAUGGAAGCUUGCUUCUCUCAAUCUUAGUGGCGAACGGGUGAGUAACGCGUAAUCAACCUGCCCUUCAGAGGGGGACAACAGUUGGAAACGACUGCUAAUACCGCAUACGAUCUAAUCUCGGCAUCGAGGAUAGAUGAAAGGUGGCCUCUACAUGUAAGCUAUCACUGAAGGAGGGGAUUGCGUCUGAUUAGCUAGUUGGAGGGGUAACGGCCCACCAAGGCGAUGCUCAGUAGCCGGUCUGAGAGGAUGAACGGCCACAUUGGGACUGAGACACGGCCCAGACUCCUACGGGAGGCAGCAGUGGGGAAUCUUCCGCAAUGGACGAAAGUCUGACGGAGCAACGCCGCGUGAGUGAUGACGGCCUUCGGGUUGUAAAGCUCUGUUAAUCGGGACGAAAGGCCUUCUUGCGAAUAGUGAGAAGGAUUGACGGUACCGGAAUAGAAAGCCACGGCUAACUACGUG
rnacentral:rRNA from 1 species